AGGAGGGGGGGGCGAGGUGCGGGUGGAGUCGGUAGGGGGAGAGGGUGGGCCGGAAGCAGUGGGCGUAAAGUGCGUGGAGGGGGGCCGUUAAUCCCGCGGGGAAAGUCCAGGGAUCGACCCUGGGAUGCGGGUGGAGACUGGCGGGCUUGAAUGCGGAAGAGGGGAGUGGAAUUCCUGGUGUAGCGGUGAAAUGCGCAGAUAUCAGGAGGAACACCAAUGGCGAAGGCAGCUCACUGGGACGGUAUUGACGCUGAGACGCGAAAGCGUGGGGAGCAAACAGGAUUAGAUACCCUAGUAGUC
rnacentral:rRNA from 1 species